rnacentral:lncRNA from 1 species
UCCGCCUAUCCAGUCCUGUUUUUUUUCCAUGCAGUUCAAAGUAAGUUGUAGAUGUUGAAACAUUUCACCCUCAAUGUUUCAGCAUGUGUUUCAUUAAGCAGAGUGAAAUGCAUCCGUCUCCUCUGUACGAUUGGAUGUGUUCUGACAGAUGGAUACACCUGUGUGAUCCAUACCCCUGUCAUGAGUCACAGCAUUGCCAAUGUCCUAGAAAGUUUCCUCAUGCCUAGUCAUUCCCAGUUUUGAGAUUUUCCCAUCGUGGCUGUGAUGAGACUCUGGGGACCUCUUGCUGCCUCCCAGAAGCUUCCUCUGUGCCCUACAUACCAGACUCUCCUUUCUCUGUCUCUUGCAGGAGCCUCGAACCUGGAUAGUCCAUGGCUUGUGGUCUCUGCAGCUCACAGGUUGUACAGGCCACACCGAGCAGUGUUCCAAGCUGUCCUGGGGCUGAUGCUGGGCAAGGCCUGGACCCCAGGUCAGUGUGACCUGCAGGAGUCAGGGCCCCAACAGGGAAGGUCUCGGUCCAGCUGA